rnacentral:rRNA from 1 species
CUUACCACUUAGUCAUUCAUGACUGGGGUGAAGUCGUAACAAGGUAACCGUAGGGGAACCUGCGGUUGGAUCACCUCCUUACCUUAAAGAA